CCUUACCUACCCUUGACAUGGCAGGAAUCCUGAAGAGAUUUGGGAGUGCUCGAAAGAGAACCUGCACACAGGUGCUGCAUGGCCGUCGUCAGCUCGUGUCGUGAGAUGUUGGGUUAAGUCCCGCAACGAGCGCAACCCUUGUCAUUAGUUGCUACGAAAGGGCACUCUAAUGAGACUGCCGGUGACAAACCGGAGGAAGGUGGGGAUGACGUCAGGUCCUCAUGGCCCUUAUGGGUAGGGCUACACACGUCAUACAAUGGCCGGUACAGAGGGCUGCCAACCCGCGAGGGGGAGCCAAUCCCAGAAAACCGGUCGUAGUCCGGAUCGUAGUCUGCAACUCGACUGCGUGGAGUCGGAAUCGCUAGUAAUCGCGGAUCAGCUUGCCGCGGUGAAUACGUUCCCGGGUCUUGUACACACCGCCCGUCACACCAUGGGAGCGGGUUCUGCCAGAAGUAGUUAGCCUAACCGCAAGGAGGGCGAUUACCACGGCAGGGUUCGUGACUGGGGUG
rnacentral:rRNA from 1 species